UACGAGGGGGGCGAGCGUUGUUCGGAAUUAUUGGGCGUAAAGCGCGCGUAGGUGGUUUGUUAAGUUGGAUGUGAAAGCCCCGGGCUCAACCUGGGAACUGCAUCCAAAACUGGCAAGCUAGAGUAGGGCAGAGGGUGGUGGAAUUUCCUGUGUAGCGGUGAAAUGCGUAGAUAUAGGAAGGAACACCAGUGGCGAAGGCGACCACCUGGGCUCAUACUGACACUGAGGUGCGAAAGCGUGGGGAGCAAACAGG
rnacentral:rRNA from 1 species